GAUGAAGAACGUAGCAAAAUGCGAUAAGUAAUGUGAAUUGCAGAAUUCAGUGAAUCAUCGAAUCUUUGAACGCACAUUGCGCCCGCUGGUAUUCCGGCGGGCAUGCCUGUUCGAGAGUCAUUUCAACCCUCAAGCCCCCGGGUUUGGUGUUGGGGAUCGGCUCUGCCCUUCUGGGCGGUGCCGCCCCCGAAAUACAUUGGCGGUCUCGCUGCAGCCUCCAUUGCGUAGUAGCUAACACCUCGCAACUGGAACGCGGCGCGGCCAUGCCGUAAAACCCCAACUUCUGAAUGUUGACCUCGGAUCAGGUAGGAAUACCCGCUGAACUUAAGCAUAUCAAUAAGCGGAGGA
rnacentral:misc_RNA from 1 species